AAAUUGAAGAGUUUGAUCAUGGCUCAGAUUGAACGCUGGCGGCAGGCCUAACACAUGCAAGUCGAGCGGUAGCACAGAGAGCUUGCUCUCGGGUGACGAGCGGCGGACGGGUGAGUAAUGUCUGGGAAACUGCCUGAUGGAGGGGGAUAACUACUGGAAACGGUAGCUAAUACCGCAUAACGUCGCAAGACCAAAGUGGGGGACCUUCGGGCCUCAUGCCAUCAGAUGUGCCCAGAUGGGAUUAGCUAGUAGGUGGGGUAACGGCUCACCUAGGCGACGAUCCCUAGCUGGUCUGAGAGGAUGACCAGCCACACUGGAACUGAGACACGGUCCAGACUCCUACGGGAGGCAGCAGUGGGGAAUAUUGCACAAUGGGCGCAAGCCUGAUGCAGCCAUGCCGCGUGUGUGAAGAAGGCCUUCGGGUUGUAAAGCACUUUCAGCGGGGAGGAAGGCGGUGAGGUUAAUAACCUCACCGAUUGACGUUACCCGCAGAAGAAGCACCGGCUAACUCCGUGCCAGCAGCCGCGGUAAUACGGAGGGUGCAAGCGUUAAUCGGAAUUACUGGGCGUAAAGCGCACGCAGGCGGUCUGUCAAGUCGGAUGUGAAAUCCCCGGGCUCAACCUGGGAACUGCAUUCGAAACUGGCAGGCUAGAGUCUUGUAGAGGGGGGUAGAAUUCCAGGUGUAGCGGUGAAAUGCGUAGAGAUCUGGAGGAAUACCGGUGGCGAAGGCGGCCCCCUGGACAAAGACUGACGCUCAGGUGCGAAAGCGUGGGGAGCAAACAGGAUUAGAUACCCUGGUAGUCCACGCCGUAAACGAUGUCGAUUUGGAGGUUGUGCCCUUGAGGCGUGGCUUCCGGAGCUAACGCGUUAAAUCGACCGCCUGGGGAGUACGGCCGCAAGGUUAAAACUCAAAUGAAUUGACGGGGGCCCGCACAAGCGGUGGAGCAUGUGGUUUAAUUCGAUGCAACGCGAAGAACCUUACCUGGUCUUGACAUCCACAGAACUUUCCAGAGAUGGAUUGGUGCCUUCGGGAACUGUGAGACAGGUGCUGCAUGGCUGUCGUCAGCUCGUGUUGUGAAAUGUUGGGUUAAGUCCCGCAACGAGCGCAACCCUUAUCCUUUGUUGCCAGCGGUCCGGCCGGGAACUCAAAGGAGACUGCCAGUGAUAAACUGGAGGAAGGUGGGGAUGACGUCAAGUCAUCAUGGCCCCUUACGACCAGGGCUACACACGUGCUACAAUGGCAUAUACAAAGAGAAGCGACCUCGCGAGAGCAAGCGGACCUCAUAAAGUAUGUCGUAGUCCGGAUUGGAGUCUGCAACUCGACUCCAUGAAGUCGGAAUCGCUAGUAAUCGUAGAUCAGAAUGCUACGGUGAAUACGUUCCCGGGCCUUGUACACACCGCCCGUCACACCAUGGGAGUGGGUUGCAAAAGAAGUAGGUAGCUUAACCUUCGGGAGGGCGCUUACCACUUUGUGAUUCAUGACUGGGGUGAAGUCGUAACAAGGUAACCGUAGGGGAACCUGCGGUUGGAUCACCUCCUUACCUUAAAGAA
rnacentral:rRNA from 1 species